CCGUGCGAAGGUAGCGUAAUCAUUUGUCUUUUAAUUGAGGACCCGUAUGAAUGACAUAACGAGGGCUCAACUGUCUCCUUCUUUCAGUCAAUGAAAUUGAUCUCCCCGUGCAGAAGCGGGGAUUUAUACAUAAGACGAGAAGACCCUAUGAAGCUUUAGACACUCGGACAUACCCUGUCAAGACCCCCUUAUUAAAGGGCCAAACCUACCCACCAUGUCCCUGUCUUAGGUUGGGGCGACCCCGGGGACAAAAAUCCCCCACGUGGAACAGUAGAAUAUCCACAACCAAGAGCCACAACUCUAAAAACCAGAACCUCUGACCACAAUAAUGACCCGGCAAUGCCGAUCAACGAACCAAGUUACUCUAGGGAUAACAGCGCAAUCCCCUUUUAGAGACCGCAUCAACAAGGGGGUUUAC
rnacentral:rRNA from 1 species